GGGUUGUGAGGUUAAGCGACUAAGCGUACACGGUGGAUGCCCUGGCAGUCAGAGGCGAUGAAGGGCGUGCUAAUCUGCGAUAAGCGCCGGUAAGGUGAUAUGAACCGUUAUAACCGGCGAUACCCGAAUGGGGAAACCCAGUGUGACUCGUCACACUAUCAUUAACUGAAUCCAUAGGUUAAUGAGGCGAACCGGGGGAACUGAAACAUCUAAGUACCCCGAGGAAAAGAAAUCAACCGAGAUUCCCCCAGUAGCGGCGAGCGAACGGGGAGGAGCCCAGAGCCUGAAUCAGCAUGUGUGUUAGUGGAAGCGUCUGGAAAGGCGCGCGAUACAGGGUGACAGCCCCGUACACAAAAGCGCAUGUGCUGUGAGCUCGAUGAGUAGGGCGGGACACGUGGUAUCCUGUCUGAAUAUGGGGGGACCAUCCUCCAAGGCUAAAUACUCCUGACUGACCGAUAGUGAACCAGUACCGUGAGGGAAAGGCGAAAAGAACCCCGGCGAGGGGAGUGAAAAAGAACCUGAAACCGUGUACGUACAAGCAGUGGGAGCACCCUUUGGGUGUGACUGCGUACCUUUUGUAUAAUGGGUCAGCGACUUAUAUUCUGUAGCAAGGUUAACCGAAUAGGGGAGCCGGAGGGAAACCGAGUCUUAAUUGGGCGUUAAGUUGCAGGGUAUAGACCCGAAACCCGGUGAUCUAGCCAUGGGCAGGUUGAAGGUUGGGUAACACUAACUGGAGGACCGAACCGACUAAUGUUGAAAAAUUAGCGGAUGACCUGUGGCUGGGGGUGAAAGGCCAAUCAAACCGGGAGAUAGCUGGUUCUCCCCGAAAGCUAUUUAGGUAGCGCCUCGUGAAUUCAUCUCCGGGGGUAGAGCACUGUUUCGGCUAGGGGGCCAUCCCGGCUUACCAACCCGAUGCAAACUGCGAAUACCGGAGAAUGUUAUCACGGGAGACACACGGCGGGUGCUAACGUCCGUCGUGAAGAGGGAAACAACCCAGACCGCCAGCUAAGGUCCCAAAGUCAUGGUUAAGUGGGAAACGAUGUGGGAAGGCCCAGACAGCCAGGAUGUUGGCUUAGAAGCAGCCAUCAUUUAAAGAAAGCGUAAUAGCUCACUGGUCGAGUCGGCCUGCGCGGAAGAUGUAACGGGGCUAAACCAUGCACCGAAGCUGCGGCAGCGACACUGUGUGUUGUUGGGUAGGGGAGCGUUCUGUAAGCCUGUGAAGGUGUGUCGUGAGGCAUGCUGGAGGUAUCAGAAGUGCGAAUGCUGACAUAAGUAACGAUAAAGCGGGUGAAAAGCCCGCUCGCCGGAAGACCAAGGGUUCCUGUCCAACGUUAAUCGGGGCAGGGUGAGUCGACCCCUAAGGCGAGGCCGAAAGGCGUAGUCGAUGGGAAACGGGUUAAUAUUCCCGUACUUGGUGUUACUGCGAAGGGGGGACGGAGAAGGCUAUGUUGGCCGGGCGACGGUUGUCCCGGUUUAAGCGUGUAGGCUGGUUUUCCAGGCAAAUCCGGAAAAUCAAGGCUGAGGCGUGAUGACGAGGCACUACGGUGCUGAAGCAACAAAUGCCCUGCUUCCAGGAAAAGCCUCUAAGCAUCAGGUAACAUCAAAUCGUACCCCAAACCGACACAGGUGGUCAGGUAGAGAAUACCAAGGCGCUUGAGAGAACUCGGGUGAAGGAACUAGGCAAAAUGGUGCCGUAACUUCGGGAGAAGGCACGCUGACACGUAGGUGAAGUGAUUUACUCAUGGAGCUGAAGUCAGUCGAAGAUACCAGCUGGCUGCAACUGUUUAUUAAAAACACAGCACUGUGCAAACACGAAAGUGGACGUAUACGGUGUGACGCCUGCCCGGUGCCGGAAGGUUAAUUGAUGGGGUCAGCGCAAGCGAAGCUCCUGAUCGAAGCCCCGGUAAACGGCGGCCGUAACUAUAACGGUCCUAAGGUAGCGAAAUUCCUUGUCGGGUAAGUUCCGACCUGCACGAAUGGCGUAAUGAUGGCCAGGCUGUCUCCACCCGAGACUCAGUGAAAUUGAACUCGCUGUGAAGAUGCAGUGUACCCGCGGCAAGACGGAAAGACCCCGUGAACCUUUACUAUAGCUUGACACUGAACAUUGAGCCUUGAUGUGUAGGAUAGGUGGGAGGCUUUGAAGUGUGGACGCCAGUCUGCAUGGAGCCGACCUUGAAAUACCACCCUUUAAUGUUUGAUGUUCUAACGUGGACCCGUUACCCGGGUUGCGGACAGUGUCUGGUGGGUAGUUUGACUGGGGCGGUCUCCUCCUAAAGAGUAACGGAGGAGCACGAAGGUUGGCUAAUCCUGGUCGGACAUCAGGAGGUUAGUGCAAUGGCAUAAGCCAGCUUGACUGCGAGCGUGACGGCGCGAGCAGGUGCGAAAGCAGGUCAUAGUGAUCCGGUGGUUCUGAAUGGAAGGGCCAUCGCUCAACGGAUAAAAGGUACUCCGGGGAUAACAGGCUGAUACCGCCCAAGAGUUCAUAUCGACGGCGGUGUUUGGCACCUCGAUGUCGGCUCAUCACAUCCUGGGGCUGAAGUAGGUCCCAAGGGUAUGGCUGUUCGCCAUUUAAAGUGGUACGCGAGCUGGGUUUAGAACGUCGUGAGACAGUUCGGUCCCUAUCUGCCGUGGGCGCUGGAGAACUGAGGGGGGCUGCUCCUAGUACGAGAGGACCGGAGUGGACGCAUCACUGGUGUUCGGGUUGUCAUGCCAAUGGCACUGCCCGGUAGCUAAAUGCGGAAGAGAUAAGUGCUGAAAGCAUCUAAGCACGAAACUUGCCCCGAGAUGAGUUCUCCCUGAGACUUAAAGUCUCCUGAAGGAACGUUGAAGACGACGACGUUGAUAGGCCGGGUGUGUAAGCGCAGCGAUGCGUUGAGCUAACCGGUACUAAUGAACCGUGAGGCUUAACCUUACAACGCCGAAG
rnacentral:rRNA from 1 species